AUUAAGGUUUAAUUUCACGCGUGUUUUCAAAGUUUCACAAAUUGUGAAAAAAAUUUGUGAAACUUUGAAAACACAAGUGAAAUUAAACCUUAAUUUUACGA